GAGUUUGAUCAUGGCUCAGGACGAACGCUGGCGGCGUGCUUAACACAUGCAAGUCGAACGGUGAUCUCAGCUUGCUGGGUGAUCAGUGGCGAACGGGUGAGUAACACGUGAGUAAUCUGCCCACAGCUCUGGGAUAACCAUGGGAAACUGUGGCUAAUACCGGAUAUGACGCGUACAGGCAUCUGUUGCGUGUGGAAAGUUUUUCGGCUGUGGAUGGGCUCGCGGCCUAUCAGCUUGUUGGUGGGGUAAUGGCCUACCAAGGCGACGACGGGUAGCCGGCCUGAGAGGGUGACCGGCCACACUGGGACUGAGACACGGCCCAGACUCCUACGGGAGGCAGCAGUGGGGAAUAUUGCGCAAUGGGCGAAAGCCUGACGCAGCGACGCCGCGUGAGGGAUGAAGGCC
rnacentral:rRNA from 1 species